UACGUAGGUGGCAAGCGUUGUCCGGAUUUACUGGGCGUAAAGAGCGCGCAGGCGGUCGUUCAAGUCGCGUGUGAAAGCCCCCGGCUCAACUGGGGAGGGUCACGCGAUACUGAUCGACUCGAAGGCAGGAGAGGGUAGUGGAAUUCCUGGUGUAGCGGUGAAAUUCGUAGAUAUCAGGAGGAACACCAGUGGCGAAGGCGGCUUUCUGGACGGUAACUGACGCUGAGACGCGGAAAAGCGUGGGGAGCAAACAGGG
rnacentral:rRNA from 1 species